GCUCCCCGCAGGUUUUCCUUGUCUCAAGUAGGGAAUUUCAGAAAUACGAUUCUCCACAGCUGCAGAAGACUUUGCUAAAAGAGCUCUACCACCACAAGCCCGAGACGUUCAGGAACACUGAGGCCCCCAGCAGCAGUAGUUAUUUGCGUCACUCUGCCGUGUGGCGGAAGGGGAUCCAAGAUGGUUCCAGUGUCACAGAUCUCACAUCUCCAGUCUCGAGCCGGUGCUCUGUCAACCCUGUGCACACCAGGUCAUUGUCCCAAGUGGAGAAGACACCAAGUUAUUUGCGUAACUCUGCUGUGUGGCAGAAGGGGUUCCAAGAUGGUUCCAGUGUCCCAGAUCUCGCAUCUUCAGUCUCGGGCCAGUGCUCUGUCAACCCUGUGCGCACCAGGUCAUUGUUCCAAGAGAAGAGGAC